CUUUCAAGAGAUUCGACCCGAUCACCCAUAUUUGAGAUGAUUUGGUCAAGUUUACCGUCCAUGUUAGUGGCCUCCCUCACCUUACUUUUACCUCGAGUUUUGCUUACUUCAGUUUGGGCAGCACCUCGACCCCUCUCCUCAAUCUCAAUAUCAGCAGUUUCUUGAGAUUCCGCCAUUAUAACGGCCUACAAACGAGGCUCUGAUACCACUUGUCACGGACCUAGUUUCGUUACACCUGAACAACUAGAACCGUGCGGCCUUAACUCUUGACAAUUCUCGCACCUCACGAGAAAACCUUAAGUCAGCCUUUCCACACUCACAAAUAAUUUAACCAAGGAGGCUAAAUUACACCCACGUUGAGAAGAGAAUUUUGAAGUAAGGGAUAUAUGAAAAACAAGUAAGGUCGGGAAACUUUCUUUGUAUAAAUGAAAGGGAAAACUUUACAAUCUCUCUAAUGAAUAAACUCACUCAACUCUACAUGAUUUACAAAUGAGAC
rnacentral:lncRNA from 1 species